rnacentral:rRNA from 1 species
UACGUAGGGUGCGAGCGUUAAUCGGAAUUACUGGGCGUAAAGCGUGCGCAGGCGGCGCGUUAAGACAGGUGUGAAAGCCCCGAGCUUAACUUGGGAAUUGCGCUUGUGACUGGCGUGCUGGAGUGUGGCAGAGGGAGGUGGAAUUCCACGUGUAGCAGUGAAAUGCGUAGAGAUGUGGAGGAACACCGAUGGCGAAGGCAGCCUCCUGGGCCAGCACUGACGCUCAUGCUCGAAAGCGUGGGGAGCAAACAGG